UGCAACAAUAAGGAUGACGAUGAGCAUAGUAAAUAAUACUUCUAACGCUUGAACCCUCGUGCACCAGGAGAAAGGAAAACACUCGUUGCAUUGAAUGGAAGAAAUAUCGCAUCUGUGCGUAGAUUCACCCCCAGCCCCAAUAUAAUUCUGUGCAGGCGGCCAAGCUCUGAGACCUAGAAAUGGUGAGUCAUUGGGGAGGGGGGGAGCAGAGAUAAAAAUAGAGAUGUUGAUUGCAUUGUUACUAAUUCAGUGGAGCCCAGGCAGCCCCAGCCUGCUGGUGAGUCAACCGCAUGACAAGACGACAGAAAAAAGAAAAGAGCUGGAUGCUCCUUGGGGCCCGUGCAGAGGGGCCGCGCAUGGCUACAUCAGUAGCUUCACGCCAAAACAGACCCACAGCGUCGAGGCUGCGGCGUGGUUCAAAAACCAACAAGAGGAAAGUGCCGAGGAGCGAUGAAGGGGCUCAAAUCGAUGAGCAGCAGCGCCCUGACCCUCCGUUCUUGCAGUACAAUCGGAACAAGUGAAAAAGGACCCUGAUUUUUCCAGAGGGACCACGCAGUCUGAAAAGUUUCCUCUACCACACGGCGGCUCUGGGAGGCCAGAGUGAGAUUCCUGUGACACUGUGUGCAGCGUGUUGGCAGGUGGCUCAGGGCUGGUCCCACCCCGCUGGCGGCAUAAGCUGGAAGCCACAGCCACAUAAGCUGCACAGCCCCGGUGGCAUGAGGCGGUGCCAUUAGAGUCUCUCCAUUUCCCCGUAUCCCGAGAAGCAAUUUUCAGGGUGAGGCACGGAAACUUAUCAACAUCUCUCAUCACAUCACGUCACUGACCUAAAUAUAGACAAUGACUUCAAGGAAGAGAGCCGGGAAGAAGUUGCAAGUUCUUUUACACCUGCAAAUGCUGCAGAGAGCUUCAAACAAACUGGCAACGAGGAACAAUAGAUAACCAGUCAGAUGUGAAGGGAGCAGAGAGGCUGUUCUAGAAUGAUGGCUGUGAUCAGGCCAUUACGGUUUCCCAGCAUAACAUCAAUCCUCAUUUGUAACCCAGGGUGGAGAUAGCACUGAGGGAGCAGCUCUGGGUCCCUUGCCAGCUUUUCCACGGGGAGCCCUGCGGGAAGAAGGGGGCAUCUGCCACAGAUCUUCCUGGCUGAGCGGGGCUGGUCUCUUCACUGGGUAGUGCAGGGCUCUGAUUCAAAGAGGCAGGCACUCACUUGACGGGAAGCCAUUUCUUUCCCACCCAAGAAGAGCACUGUGCAGUUUUUGUGACCAACAGCCUUCCCCAGCAGCCACUUGGAGCCACCCCCCUGUCUGGCCUUCCCCUGUGGCCUCCUGUGUCAAAGCCCUCCUCCACUCUGGAAGGCAGAAGUGCCCUGGAUCUCUUGUGUCUGCCAAGAGGGGUGUCAGCCAGGGUCAUUCUCUCUCCCAGAACCCAUUCAGAAUCUUGAAGGACAUGUUCAUAAGAGUGCUUACCUUACGGAUGUGCGCAUUAUUCACCCGCCAGGUGAGCGGAAGGGCUGUAUUAGCAGCUUUUAUGAACAUGAAUCCCAUGUCUAGGGACAUUGGGAAAGACACCCGAGCCAAAUAUUAAGUGUAGCUAGGCUAGUGACGUCAGCAAUUAGGACACAAUCGUGGGCAAUCAUUGUGGAGGAAGAGUCACCUGUCUCUCACAUGCUUCUAAUGUUCUUCCUGUUCACUCAGAUAACUAUCUGCGUAAGAACUGCUGCGGGGAGGCUCCAGAGGCAAGCUAAUUGCCUGCUGUUAGGGAACCAGCGAGCCACUCCAGACUGGGGCUGUCCACAACUCCGUCAUUUAGGCUAAAACACAAGCCCAUGCUCUUCUGUGUGCGCAGAGCAUCCAUAAGUGCAGCCAUCAAUCUGUGACCUCAGAGAGCACAUAGCUGACCCCAGCAGAAGCAGAUGCUACUGUGGCAAGGAGAGCCCUGGCCCUUGGCAAAGUAACAAUGCAGAAGAAUGGAAAGAACAACACCACACAUGAGGUAAGAGGCCAAGGCAGCCCUGCACCUGGAGUAAAACCACGGCUCCAGGAAGAGACAGGACAACAAGCCACCCGAAUGCUCCAGCCAAACCAAAUGACAACCAGGAAAAGAUGCUGGCUCAAGAGGAGCCCAAGGUCAGAAUCCCCACCAGGGACAGUUUGGGCAGGGACAUCUCGGUGACUUUCCUGACAUAGUGACCCUCUCUGUGGCUUUUACUGAUGUUCUGGAAAGUGAGGCUGAGUCAGAGAGAGGAAAAUAAGAAGCUGUAUGCAAAAAACAAAAAAUAAAAAACCAAAACCAUCCCCAAAGGGUAGCAGAAACAGUGGCUGUGGAUUACAAAUGUCAGUUUAAGGGGAUCCACCAUAAUAGAAAUCUAGUUGCUCUGUUCUGUGCAAUGGGAAGACUCUGGCACUGGUGGUUUCUACAAAGGGCUUUCCACCUAACUGGGUUCAGAGUCUGGAAGAUCCUGACAGUGUUUCACUUCUAUAGGGCUUCCGCCUCCCUCCACAGACCCUGGGAAAUAUACUCUCUGGGAUAGGUGAAUGCAAUUAAAAAUUACAAAAGACUAUCAGGGGGAAAAAAGCAAUUUGGUCAAGAAGAAAUAUGCCCAGAGUCAUUUUUUUUCCAAUCCAAUAUCUUUGUUAAUUAAGCAUUUUCCAACCUAUGAUGAGAAUACUAAUAGUAAUCGAAUACUUACUACUCAUUACUAAUAAAACAUAUUUGUGAAAUGGAAAUGUAAUGUGCCUAUUUCCAAAAUGUGGUUAUAAAUGACUUACUCUAAGCCACAAUUUAAAGUGGUUUGAGAAAUGAGUCUUUAAUAAAGAAUUGAUGAGGAACGAUGACUGUUGGAAAUAAUUCUAUUUGGUAAGAUUAUGUGGUUUGCUAUGGCAAUUUGAGCUGAGGUGAUUGCCUCCAAAAUUACUGCAAGUAACUAAUAUAGGGAAAUUUAAUUGAUGAUAAAUACAGUGGUGGUAUGUCAACUCUUGAAAAAGUGAGCAUGUAAUUGAACAAUUCAGCAUCAUCUUGUUUGCUAAUUAUACUUGGAGUCAUUACAGCGUUGUCAAGAUGUUAUUUGUCUGACACGUUUGCACAUAGUAGGGAUUUAAAAGGUGAGUGAAUAAGUACCUAUAAUUAGUCCUUGAUGUGGAUUCCUAUAUACAAUUAUAGUUAAUCAUAAACCCAUUAACAUUUAGGGGAAAAAAAACCAAUUAUAAUAUGGCUUAGGAUAGAGCCAUAAUAGCAUUUGUAAUAGUCAGUGAAGUGAUAUUCAGCAUGGUCAGGCAGCCUGGAUGUCAGGUUGUCACGAUUUGUCCUGAGCUUCUUAGAAGGAAGAAACAAAACAACGAACAACUCACCAAAGCUCACUUCUCUUUUUUAACCGUCUUACUACACUAACGGGUCAGGGUGUCUUGACUUGAGCAAAGCAUUUGUUGGUACUUCCUUGGGAUCCCUUUGCGCAGGGAAGCUGUGCCCUUGUAGACCUGGACAGAUGUCAUGCACACAGAGACUCCCAUCGUAACACAAAGGUUUGUCCUAAACUGUGAAACCCGAGGGAAUAAAAAGGCCCAGGCCAUCAAAGAGCUGAAAGGCUAGUGAGGCCUGACCAAGAACAAACAGCUGAAGAGAACAGGAUAAAUGAUCAAUGGCGCCGUGGACCAGCGCUUCAAAGACUGGGCUGCAAGUGGGCCAGGGAGGGCUUUCUAGAAGUGACGAUUGUUUGUGUUUGUUUGCAA